GAUGAACGCUAGCGGCAGGCCUAACACAUGCAAGUCGAGGGAGGAGCUUUCGGGCUUCGACCGGCGUACGGGUGCGUAAAGCGUAUACAAUCUGCCUUUCACAUAGGGAUAGCCCGAAGAAAUUUGGAUUAAUACCUAAUGGUAUAUCGAGGUGGCUACACCUUUAUAUUAAAGCUGAGGCGGUGAAAGAUGAGUAUGCGUUCGAUUAGCUAGUUGGAGAGGUAACGGCUCCCCAAGGCGACGAUAGAUAGGGGUUCUGAGAGGGAUAUCCCCCACACUGGUACUGAGAUACGGACCAGACUCCUACGGGAGGCAGCAGUGAGGAAUAUUGGGCAAUGGUCGGAAGACUGAUCCAGCCAUGCCGCGGGCAGGAAGACGGCCUUAUGAGUUGUAAACUGCUUUUGCAGGGGAAGAAUAAGGACUACGCGUAGUUUGAUGACGGUACUCUGCGAAUAAGCAUCGGCUAACUCCGUG
rnacentral:rRNA from 1 species